rnacentral:tRNA from 1 species
UUAAUAGAAGCCUAACAUAGGUAUUUCACUGUUAAUGAAAAGACUGAGAUUUUCUCCUAUUAAA